AUACGAAGGGGGCAAGCGUUGUUCGGAAUAACUGGGCGUAAAGCGCACGUAGGCGGAAUGUUAAGUUAGAGGUGAAAUCCCAGGGCUCAACCCUGGAACGGCCUUUAAUACUGGCAAUCUAGAGACCGAGAGAGGUGAGUGGAAUUCCGAGUGUAGAGGUGAAAUUCGUAGAUAUUCGGAGGAACACCAGUGGCGAAGGCGGCUCACUGGCUCGGUACUGACGCUGAGGUGCGAAAGCGUGGGGAGCAAACAGGAUUAGAAACCCGAGUAGUCC
rnacentral:rRNA from 1 species